rnacentral:rRNA from 1 species
GUCGAGCGAGCGGAACUAAAGAUUUACUUCGGCAAUGACGUUAGGAAAGCGAGCGGCGGAUGGGUGAGUAACACGUGGGGAACCUGCCCCAUAGUCUGGGAUACCACUUGGAAACAGGUGCUAAUACCGGAUAAGAAAGCAGAUCGCAUGAUCAGCUUUUAAAAGGCGGCGUAAGCUGUCGCUAUGGGAUGGCCCCGCGGUGCAUUAGCUAGUUGGUAAGGUAAAGGCUUACCAAGGCGAUGAUGCAUAGCCGAGUUGAGAGACUGAUCGGCCACAUUGGGACUGAGACACGGCCCAAACUCCUACGGGAGGCAGCAGUAGGGAAUCUUCCACAAUGGACGCAAGUCUGAUGGAGCAACGCCGCGUGAGUGAAGAAGGUUUUCGGAUCGUAAAGCUCUGUUGUUGGUGAAGAAGGAUAGAGGUAGUAACUGGCCUUUAUUUGACGGUAAUCAACCAGAAAGUCACGGCUAACUACGUGCCAGCAGCCGCGGUAAUACGUAGGUGGCAAGCGUUGUCCGGAUUUAUUGGGCGUAAAGCGAGCGCAGGCGGAAGAAUAAGUCUGAUGUGAAAGCCCUCGGCUUAACCGAGGAACUGCAUCGGAAACUGUUUUUCUUGAGUGCAGAAGAGGAGAGUGGAACUCCAUGUGUAGCGGUGGAAUGCGUAGAUAUAUGGAAGAACACCAGUGGCGAAGGCGGCUCUCUGGUCUGC